CGAAGCCUGACGGAGCAACGCCGCGUGAGUGAUGAAGGUCUUCGGAUCGUAAAGCUCUGUUGUUAGGGAAGAACAAAUGUGUAAGUAACUGUGCACAUCUUGACGGUACCUAACCAGAAAGCCACGGCUAACUACGUGCCAGCAGCCGCGGUAAUACGUAGGUGGCAAGCGUUAUCCGGAAUUAUUGGGCGUAAAGCGCGCGUAGGCGGUUUUUUAAGUCUGAUGUGAAAGCCCACGGCUCAACCGUGGAGGGUCAUUGGAAACUGGAAAACUUGAGUGCAGAAGAGGAAAGUGGAAUUCCAUGUGUAGCGGUGAAAUGCGCAGAGAUAUGGAGGAACACCAGUGGCGAAGGCGGCUUUCUGGUCUGCAACUGACGCUGAUGUGCGAAAGCGUGGGGAUCAAACAGGAUUAGAUACCCUGGUAGUCCA
rnacentral:rRNA from 1 species